rnacentral:rRNA from 1 species
GAUGAACGCUGGCGGCGUGCCUAAUACAUGCAAGUCGAGCGAACGGACGAGAAGCUUGCUUCUCUGAUGUUAGCGGCGGACGGGUGAGUAACACGUGGAUAACCUACCUAUAAGACUGGGAUAACUUCGGGAAACCGGAGCUAAUACCGGAUAAUAUUUUGAACCGCAUGGUUCAAAAGUGAAAGACGGUCUUGCUGUCACUUAUAGAUGGAUCCGCGCUGCAUUAGCUAGUUGGUAAGGUAACGGCUUACCAAGGCAACGAUGCAUAGCCGACCUGAGAGGGUGAUCGGCCACACUGGAGCUGAGACACGGUCCAGACUCCUACGGGAGGCAGCAGUAGGGAAUCUUACGCAAUGGGCGAAAGCCUGACGGAGCAACGCCGCGUGAGUGAUGAAGGUCUUCGGAUCGUAAAACUCUGUUAUUAGGGAAGAACAUAUGUGUAAGUAACUGUGCACAUCUUGACGGUACCUAAUCAGAAAGCCACGGCUAGCUACGUG